rnacentral:rRNA from 1 species
UACGUAGGUGUCAAGCGUUGUCCGGAUUUAUUGGGCGUAAAGCGCCCGCAGGCGGCUUGCCAAGUUCGAUGUGAAAUCUCCCGGCUUAACUGGGAGGGUGCAUCGAAAACUGGCAGGCUUGAGGCAGGGAGAGGGAUGUGGAAUUCCAGGUGUAGUGGUGAAAUGCGUAGAUAUCUGGAGGAACACCGGUGGCGAAGGCGGCAUCCUGGACCAAUAUUGACGCUGAGGAGCGAAAGCCAGGGGAGCAAACGGG